GGGCCCGUAGCUCAGCCUGGUAGAGCGGCGGGCUCUUAGGGCGGAGGUCCCGGGUUCGAAUCCCGGCGGGCCCGCCA
rnacentral:tRNA from 1 species